rnacentral:rRNA from 1 species
CCUACGGGAGGCAGCAGUGGGGGAUAUUGCACAAUGGGGGAAACCCUGAUGCAGCGACGCCGCGUGUAGGAAGACGGUCCUCUGGAUUGUAAACUACUGUCCCCAGGGACGAAGAUGACGGUACCUGGGGAGGAAGCUCCGGCGAACCACGUGCAAGCAGCCGCGGUAACACGUAGGGAGCGAGCGUUGUCCGGAAUUACUGGGUGUAAAGGGAGCGUAGGCGGGGAUGCAAGUUGGGUGUUAAAUCUACCGGCUCAACUGGUAGUCGCACUUGAAACUGCAGCUCUUGAGUGAAGUAGAGGCAGGCGGAAUUCGUAGUGUAGCGGUGAAAUGCGUAGAUAUUAGGAGGAACACCAGUGGCGAAGGCGGCCUGCUGGGCUUUUACUGACGCUGAGGCUCGAAAGUGUGGGGAGCAAACAGGAUUAGAUACCCGAGUAGUC